CUGAUACUGCUGUACAGAGCUAUUAAAUCUGUAACCAGGGUCAAAUUUAAGCCCCCCUGUAGGGAAUAUCAGCACUGCUUAACACCCAAUUACAUAACUUUGAUGCAGUGCAGCUCAACUGUACAUAGCUUUAAAUCUUGCCUUGUUUCAGGCAGAUUUUCUCAUUGUCUCUUGACCAGAGGAAUGGACAUCACCAGUUGUUCAGACAGAUGGAAAGUCUUGGUGAGACACCCUUGGGCGAUGGUAAGUGUCACCCUGCUGUUUGUGUUUCACAUGGAGUGACAAAUUACUCGUUCAAAGCCAUUACAAGGGCUGCACCCGGGCUGUUUAUCUUUGCACGGGACUCCGUCACUGUCACUCCCAUUUUCACACCCGGGCUAUCUGCUUAUCUUUCACUCUCUCAUCCCAGUCCUUCUGUCCCUUCUUUCUAGACCUCUGUUUUCUGUUAUGAACUCAUUCAGUCAUUCUCUGCUUACUGCUACAUCACCAAAAAAGCCUGUAGAGUUUUUGAGAGUGCAAGUACAUUUCUUGGCCGGAAGAGGCAAUAGCGAGUGACCUACAGUUCCUCUCAGCCGGAGGGGACAGGUGCACGCUGGUCUGCUUGGCAGCAUGAGGUGGAAAAGGGUGGGUGUCUCUCUCUGCCAGCCCUCAUCUCUUCCCACCUCCUGAGGCACGCAAAUGUCAGUUCCACUCUCCUUGUCACCCACACGUGAUGUGGAGGCAGCUUUUUCUGCUUAUCCUGAAAUGAAAAAGGACACAGAGUGAGGCACAGGAUGUUCUCGAGGUAGACAGCUAUUUCAUUUUUGCACACCACCCCUGUUGUUCCCCAAAGCAGGCGACAAAACGCUGCCUCCACCUGCAAAUACUCCAGAGUGACAGCUGUGAAUUUGGUGUUAAUGACUCAUGGUGAUGGUGCUCAGAGCUGAAGAUGGAGAUAGGAUGUAGGCCUAAUCGAGCCUGAAGCACGCUCUCCUUCUCCUCCUCCUCCCCCGGCCUUUUGACUCACACUGAUGUGAGGCCAGCUGGGACUCCAUUUUAUGUCUUUCCCGGCUGCAGGUGCCGCGUCAUUGCAGGGGCUCCAAGUGCCUGAUGGGUACAAAAUCAAACCCCCCUCCUCCUCCUCCUCUUCCUCCCUGUCCAGCUCUGAUCCUGACCUUGACAAAAAGAGCAUCUGGAUGUUCUCACUGAGAUUAGCUUGUAAUAACCACCAAUCACCUUCGUAAUGGUGCAAGUAAAUGGUGUUUGAACUAGAGGGUUCAGAUGGGUUGAGGUUAUGUUUUGCUGUUAUACUGGCAUAGUGUGCAUAGUGCAAGACCCGCUGCGCAAUGAAAACCUCAGACAAAUUAUAUAAAGGAUUACAAGGCUUGUAAUGGAGUAAAAGAGCUUACGCUUGAACAAUUGAUUGUAUGGUCUCCAGAGAAAAUAGUUCUUGGCUGUAAAUAGUGACACCUUUUCAAAAUUACUGAGAUUAUUGUAAGAUAUUAAGCAAGCUGUUGUGUUUGGUCUAUUGUUUGCUCCUACACUUUAUUUAUUAAAUGGCAAACUAGGAAAAUGGGCUUGUUCUCAUUACAGCAUGUUUAUGUCUUACCAUUUGACAGCCCUGGGUAGUUUUUCCUGUCUGGACCAAUAGUACUUGUCUGCAGAGCCAGAGAGCCAAGCAUUCCACAACUGUCUGUUCCACAACAUCCACAACCAUAGACCGUAUAUAGAAUGGACGCCGUCUGCCACCUCGAUGGGUGAAGCCACUCUGAGAACAGUGACGCCCCCCCCCCCCCAGAAAUUUAAUUUAAUUAAAAGUUCUUAAAUUAAUAAGCCUACCUAUAAUAUUUCGAGUUUAUUCUACCAAAAUAUCAACUAAUAUUAUCCCAAUACCAUAGGGAUUGGCCUCGCUUUUAUACUAUUUAUUCCUUGGUGAUGAUUGCGGAUGAAUGUGAUAUUUUUUGUGUUUUUCUCGUAUAUUUUGCACUUCAGUUUCCUUCACUACAAUGCUAGUAGCCAACGGGUCAAAUAGUAAAUUUCCGACUUCCGACAAGCUAAUGCUAACAUUAGCUUGACCGAGAUUCAAUGUGCAUUGCAGACUAUCAUGAUAAAUGGAUAGGGAAAAAUGUCAUAAAUGGAGCCUGUCACAUUUACAUUUAUUUCAAAUUCAAGAAAAAACUAUAUUAUCUAUUACUAUUUAAAAAAAAUUGAUUCACGUUUGAUAUUCGAUCAUAACGUCGCUUCAUUCAAGCCAAUAACUUUUGAGAAAGGAGCAGUGGUUGAAAAUAGUCAACUUUUCUGUGCAGUUUAAUAUAAAAUUAAAAGAUGCCACUCUGAAACUCGAAAUACAAACAUAAAGUGAUAACACAAGCCAGUUUGCUAAAAUAAUUUUUUAAAGUCUGGCAUCAUCCUCUUUUUCAACCACAGCGAGUCUCUUUUAACCUGCGUCUUAACGAGCUAAAUAGCGUACACAUUAAAUGUAAAGAUUUUCAUUCCAUGCUGGAAACGUAAGUGUUCAUUUUAAACACAUUCGAGGUAUGAAGAUACCGUAGUUCAUGAAGAGAAUGGAGAGGGGAAUUAAUGAGCCGGGGUGCGUUGUGCCCGGAUGACUUUCUGGAGGGACCGCCCCCUCCUCGGAGACAAUUCGGGAAGGAAAUGGAUGGCUCGGGUGUCCAUCUUGCUGAUCUUUUCAAAUAUGUUUUUCAGGUUUGUACGCUGAGAAGUCCACAAAAUUAUACCCUUACAUUUAAACAAUGUUAAAUUAAACGUAGCGCGAGUUUGAAGUGUGUUGUUGACGGACUGUAGCUUGUUAUUCGAACUUAGAAAGAAAGCUAAAAAUAGCGCCGCCGUUUAGCGCGGGAAGCGAUCAUUCUACAACGUACCGCGAGAUUUGAGAUCACUGUUAGCAUUAAGAUUUGCUUCUCCAAACAUUAUAUUUAAAGCAAGAUCCCUUGACACUUGACAUACAAACUAAUAUUACUUGUUUUGGUGUGAACAAGAUUUUUAUACGAUUCAGGAGUAAGGUUAUUGGGGUAUGUUGUUAUAGUGAGAAAAAUUGUUUGUGUUCCUUGUGGGUUGAAACUCAACUGUUGUUGAGAAUAAGAAAUAUUUCCUUUGCAAGAUGUUGUACAGUUUUGAUAAAUGCAGUUUUAUAUUGCAGCAAAAGGUUUAUUGUACAGCUUUACUGUUUUCUGGCAUCCUGUUGAUUUGUAUUGAUUCGUGUGCUUUGUAUGAUUUGACAAAACCUGAAGAAGUUUUCUACAAUUCAUUGUUAACUUUUGAGAAGAACUUAGUGAAUGUUGAAGAUAUGAGAAGCCAUAUGAAUCGGACUUUAUUAAAGAAACAUGGACACUCUUACUAUGGACAUCCUAAUACAGACACUCCUGCACAGAGUAACGUUUUAUAUGUUUUUAAAUGUGUUUUUUAGUUCUGUAAUAAAAAAUGACAACUCGGGAAGAAAAUGAACGGCUCGGGUCUCCAUCUUAACGAUCUUUUCAACUGUGUUUUUCAGAUUAAGAGGUGCUGAACCAAAAAUCAUUUUUUACAGUAAAACUCAUCUUAGAAAUCUGUAACAUAAACAACUUAGGCUAUGUUCACACUGCAGGUCAAUUCUGAUUUUUUAACCAUAUGUGACACAUAUCUGAUUUUCUCACGUAAGUGUGAACAGUGAAAUUCUGAUUUUUUUCAAAUCCGACCUAGGCCUCUUUUGUAUGGUGAUAUAAAGUGGAUAUGUAUCUGAUAUGACUGCCGUGUGGACAUUCAGGUCGCGUUCAUCCAACCUUUACGUCAUCAAUAUGCGACAAACGGCGCCAUUGUUCGACAACACAAACAGGCGUGGAAAGCAAUUUGUGCGCAUGCGGGUCACUUCACGUAUGCAUUAAGUUCACAUUAGAUGCCGCAUUCAUUAUUGUAAUGUGAACGACCGCACAAAAAGAUCGGAUUCAACAAAAAAUCCGAAUUGUGCACCAUAACCUGCAGUGUGAAUGUAGCCUUAGUAGCCUAACAGACGUUUUCUCACCUGUAGAUGUUACAGCUAGCUGUUUCCAUGGGAGCCAUUACGACGGCUGCGCCAAAAUGGUGCAAGAUGACAGCAUGUUAAAAAAAAAAAAAGAUUCAAUAACAGGGAAACCAUGGCCAGUCAAAAAGCAACACAAUAGUUUAAACAUUUUCCAUACAGGGUUAACCAGUGAUAGGAUAUAAUGUUCAACAGUGAAUAUAAGAGGUUGUUAGCUUUUCAUUGCUAGCUGCCCCCACCCGCUUCCAUGCCAACUGUUAACUCAGCAUAAAUGCUGCAACAGUAGCCUCCCUGUGUAAAACAAUAAUCAUAGCAGCUCCUAAAAGUCAAGAUAAAUGUAUUUCACACACAAGAUAUUGACCAUUGCAUGCAAGAAAUUAACUUUUUAAACUUUUAAGUGAUUUGUAUCAUGCACACAGGUUUAUUAUACAAGAUAAUUAUAUUUUUAGGACAAAAUCGUAGCUUGUUCUUAUAAGAAACUUCUGUUGUAUACACUGCACAAUAAUAAAUGCACAUGUUCUAGUUUAGCACAUUUUCACACCUUGUCCAAACACCCAAGUUACUCAUGCUUUUUAGAUGACUUUAUAUGUCUACUGGGUGUGUCUGGUGUCUUUUAAACUUGAUGAUACAUUCCCCUCAAGCAUAAUCAAGGUCCCUAUGACGAGAGGAUUUAGCAACAUAUUAAUCAUCAGAGUUACUCAUAUUUUGUCCUGCAACAUGCUCGUGGCACCCAGGCUCUCUCAGAUUAGAAUUUCAAAGAUAAGUGGACACUGGCUUUGAUAGUGUGUCUGAGCCUCUUCACCUUUCCUCUGCCCUCAGUCUUCUCACUAAUGAAAUCUUAAAAUAACCUGCCUGCUGCUGGCAAAAGUAGGUCAGAGCACCAAUGCGAAGCCAAUUCAAGACAAAAGCAUCAAGUAGUGCAUUGUGGGUAUUUCCCCCUGUGGUAGAAUUGAGGUGGGGGCCGGUGUAUGCAUGCUGGUGGAUGCCUGUUCUUGUCUUUUUUUUUUCCUGCAGAGGCUGAGGUGGCUGGUGGAGCAGUCAACAACCGUUUCCAUUAGCACACAGUCAGAACUUCAUCGACUUUUUACUGUGAGGUAAAAUACAAACGGACGUGUUUGUGUUCUUCAAGCUCAUGCAUAUUGCUUGUGUUUAUUUGGUGCACCCAUCUACUAAUAGUAAACAGCAUUGUUCAUUCCUGUCAUCUUUUGUUUUUGUUGUCAGACAGAUCAUGCUGACCCCAACACAACUACAUCUACUGCAGCUGAUAUGAUUCAGUCUGAUUGGUUAAGGGUAAGAAGCUUCUCCAUCUGUGGACCCUGUGCAUGUGGUUGGAGACUUGAGAAUUUUGUCUUUCAGAUUUAACAAUCACAGAGAAUGAGAAGUAUUUAUCGAUCGAUUCCUUUGUGAUUUAUCAAUAGCUGGAAAGGCAAUAUGCAUUUUCACCAUAUUGACUCACAGGCAGCUGGAAGACAUUUUCACAACAUUAGCACCUUGUAGCUUCCUAAAAGUGUAAAUAUGUGUAAAAUCAAUAACUUCCAUCAAAUGCUAAUACAAGCUUGCCUAAAGCUAAAUCACAGUUAUUGGUUUUAUACCAAAACAAGCUGUUGCCUAACAGUAACUUAUGGGCUUUUAGUUUUUAGUGUUUUAACUUGUAAUAUGGCAUGGCAUCCCUCUGGAUUUUUUCAUCCAUUGUCCAUGUUGUUGGAGAAAUAAAAUUAACUCUUGUCACUAAUCAAUCUUAAUAUAGUUAAAGCUCCUGUGAGGAAUUUUAGGUUUGUGUCUUUGCGUUUGCCUUUGUUGUCCUCUCUCAAAACUAUUCCAAUCAGUAAAAAUGGCCAAUGGAUGUGCUGAAAAGUAAAAUCCUAUAUCUGUUAUCUUACGUUAUAGGCACAAAAAUGAGAACUUUUGCAAAUGAUAUGGAUCAGUUGUUAAAUUAUUUGUCCAAGUUUAAAGUUAAAGGUUUGUGGGCCAUAGGAAAUUUGAAUUUUGGGGAUUUUAGAGCCGUAUUGCAAGUGUUUCUGACCAGUAACAACACAAAUACACUAAACAGGAUAUGUUUAUGUGUGCAAAAUGGUAGGACUCCCUACAAAUAUGUAACCAGAAACAAUAUUAAAGCAGCAUUAGAGCCAUCAUAGUGAUAUCAGAGGAAACUGUGUCAGUGUCACCAAGUCUGCUGAAUGGAUGGGAAAACAGAUACCCACUUACACAAUCCAUACUAGACAAAAUCCCUGUUUUCAUGUCCUUCUGUCUCUCUAAACCCUUCAAGCUGUCCAAACUGACAAAUACAUCCAGCCAAUGAUAUAAUAGCUAUUAAUGAGACUUCUCUUGGCAAUUAUAAAUUUUGCAAAAAAAAAGCAGAGAUGUUUAUCUGAAACCACAGAACCUCUCCACAAUGACAGCUUUCCUGCUAGUGCUGCUCGAUCAACAAGUCUUGAGGUAUUGCUUGUGCGCUCUCCAUCUGGCUGCUGCUGAUAAGAACUUACUGGGGGCUGCUGGAUAAUAGUCUUGCGAGCUUAAAAGCAGGAGGGCGGGAAGGGGGAGGAUGGGGGCAUAAUUUAUUCUAGGGGAAUCCAGCAAACAGGGCCCUAUAAACCGAACCAUCCUCUCCCCCCUCUGAGAACAUUUGAGCAGAAGACAGCCUCUUCCAUGUUGCCUGUAGGGGUGGGGGGUGGGGGGGGACAUCAUGCUGCUUCAGCUAUGAUUGCCUCCAGCUUGAUUUUAUUCCUGAAGAGACAAGAUGGCUGCACAAACACAUGAGGCAUAUCCAUGACCUAGCACUGCACAUGUAGAGCGCAAUAACGGAGCAAAGCGAGAGAAUAUGGUUCGCUUGUGCACUAGAGUUGAUCUAUUUCUCAGCACUGCACCUGCAAAAACCGUCUUUUUGCACUGACAUGUAGAGCUGUUAGGACCUCUAUUUUCAGGGUCAGAGACACUGACUUUUUCUGUUUGUCUGAACCCUCGGGUGUACCCAGACUGACAGGAGUGCCUCAUGGGAGAAGACAGAUCAGAAAAUGAUAAAUGGUUUUCUAUGUUUGACCAACUGUACAAUGUGCAUACUGGUCUCGUAGAGUCAAUUUUUUAUAUGUAUUCCAAAACAGCAGGAUACCAGGGUGAAAAAAUAUCUGCAUAGACAUCAGUAUAUGAAUAAGGCUUUUUUUUUUGUCAUUUCUUGCCCUGAAACCAGCAAACUCAUGUGACAGCUACGUCUGCGAAUGCAUCAUCUGGACACAGAGGAGAUGUGACGCAGACGAAUACGCAAGAUGACAGCAUGAAGGAACCCCAGACCCACCUUCAAAUCCUGUUGGUUAUUCCUUCAGUGACGCAGAACGGAGCAGACGUCGGCACAAAAAAAUAAAAAAUCAAACUGUUGAAGGAGACUGGAUUGGAGGCAGACACACAACUCUGCAUGAGAAAGCUUGACAAUGUGUUCCUGAACAUUUGCUAAGAACUGAGGAUGAUGUGUCGUGUUUCUGAGCGAGCCAAAGUACUCAUGCAUCAGCUCAGCGUCUAUUUCCUGAUGUGUCCCAGCAUGAGACGCUCUUUGAUUCCUCUGACUCAGUCACAGUUCUGUAGGUCCCUUUUUUUUUCGCAAAGAUAAUGACGGGAAAAUGUGAAAGUAAAGAAAAAAAGAUAAAUCUGAGAGUUGAAAUGGCUAAAAAGCCACUGGCCAUUAACCACCGAUCGGGGCUGUCAUAUUAUCUGGAAACACAGAUUGAUGGGAGGUUUGGCCCUAAGGGAAAUGCUUUGACUGUCUGCCUUGAUAAUAGCCUUGUACUGCCCACUGGAAGUCAGAGCUCUGUGAAAAAGAUAUGCUAUUGAGUAUGAUGGUGAAUUCAUGUCACACUCUGUCUUUGCAAGAUGAUCUUACAGCCAAGGUCUUGUCUGGUCGUAUUUUUCUCUCUCUCUUUCGGUUGGAGGGAUUCUGUCAGAUUAGAAAAAGCUUGUCUUUUCGGUAAAUUCUCUCUUAUAUGACUUAUGUUCUUGUAACAGAAGCCAGUUACACGGCGUAGGCCAACGCUCUGACUCUGUUGUUGUAACACUGUUUUGCAUCCCCAUGCACUGCCACUCCCUGUUACAUACUCGUAUAAACAUUCUGUAGAAAUGCAGAAGAAAGCAUGUGUUUUGCAUACUCUUCGGCUGAUAAUUCAAGCGUGUAAGAGAUAGGUGCAUUUUUCUUGGCUAGCUUUGAAUACCAGCUUGACCUGGGCAUGGACUUAGGUUUGCAUGUAUGUAAGAGGCUUGAAUUUAGUUUAAUUUGUGUGCUCACUUAGGUCGUUUCAUAGACUCGAGACAAGAUCAGCUGAAAAAGAGGCAGGGUACACUCUGAACAGGUCUCCAGAAAGUUAAGGAAAGAUGGAUUAAAAAAUAAAAUAUUGAAAUUAAACUGGAAUAAGUAACAAAAAAAUUCUGGCCAAUCAGGGGGCUCCUUGCAACUGGCCAAUCAGAGAGCACUACAUAUAUCCUGCUCAUCAGAAUGAUUCUUUUAAUCCUGUUUUUAUGCUUUUUUUCCUUCGAGUAAGGCCUAAUUUCCUUCUUUGGCUGUAUCUCAUUGGCUUUUCAAUUUUGUUGCAUACAUAUAAAGUCAUUUACUACAAACAAAGUUAACUUAGCUACUUAAAUCUACAUAAAUAUGCCUAACUUUUUAAAAGUGAAAUUUAACGAACUGUUUUUUUAUUGUAUAUGUAUUGAUUCCUGCCUAAAACACCUGUCUUUUAUAAAAUUCUUUGUUUCCUCCUCUUCUUUUCUUGCUUGGACGGCCUUUUAAUCAUGAAAAAUUAACAUGUUUUGUUUCAGCUCCAGAAAAUUGAGUAGCUCCCUAAAACUGUGCAAUACUUAUGUUUAUUUUUAUUCAAGGGAAACAAGUCCAUCGCAAUCCGUAAGUUUAUUAGUUAUAUUUGAAAAAGUCUUAACACUAUUGUUGUUUGAGAGGAUGCUCCAAACUUGGGUUGAAGGAAUCAGGUGCUAAAUUUACCCACUGUUAUUUCCUUGUCAGCAUCAGGGAGGAGAGCUGCCAGACAGCCCCACCUGAGACCUGCGACAUGUCUGCAUCAUCCUGGAGGAGUCAUCACCUACGAGUAAAGG
rnacentral:lncRNA from 1 species